UGGAGAAUUGUCCGAGAGGCUUAAAGAGCUCCCCUGCUAAGGGAGUGGUGGCGGAAGCUGCCCGUGUGUUCGAAUCACACAUUCUCCGCCAA
rnacentral:tRNA from 1 species